AUGUCCGUGAGCAACAAGCAUACGAUUUGUGCAUAUGCUCUACUGUAUUGGCCUCAUGGGUCAUCGCUGAUUGACCAGGACUAUAGAUUAUUCCUUCAGCGUACUAUCGCUUUCUCAAGUCAACUCAAGCAACAAUUCAUGUGGCUCGCUCAAUCGGUCAGAGAGCUGAACGGGGCGAGGCUGGAGGCGUCGGUGAGGGCGUACGGUGGUGCCGGCCAGAGCAAGGUGUCCAACAAAUGGGCUUCAUUGCCGCUGCCAUAUGCCAAAGCCGGCAAUGAACUCCUAGAUGACAGUGGAAGCCAUGUUGUUGUUUUGUUUGUUCCCAGCCCUGACUAUGGUCUUCGAGCGAGUCCGGCAUGUUGUUCAUCUGACUAUGUUCAUCCAGCGAGUCCAGUAUGUUCAUGA
rnacentral:rRNA from 1 species